CCACAAAGCCGAGAGGCGGGGCGAGCGGCCCCACGGCCCCGCCCUCUUCGCUCCUCCUCCGCGGGUCGCUGGGCGCGUGCCGCCGGCGCCUCUUCCCCUCCCCCCGCCUCGGGCGCGAGGCGAGAUGAGGCGGGAGCGGCGCGCCGAGCGCGGGCGGCCCUGAGGGACAGCGGGGUGCGGCCGUGCGGCGGCGGGAACGGAGCGCGGGUGCCGUGCCGUCCGCCGAGGGGUCGGAACGCCCCUGUCAGCGCUGUGGGUGUUACGGAGACAGGAGAGUGAAGGCGGUGCCAUGAGACGAUGGAGCGCGAGCUUUCAUUCCUCGCCUCUGUUUGUCUCUCGCGGUUCCGAUGGAAGCAGGUGAAGCUCCGGCAGAUGACAAGCCGCAGCUUUAGGGAUGAAAGCCCGACGCCGAAGGCCGAGAGCGCCGGGACGCCGCAGCGCGCAGGCCUCCCGCCCAGCCCUGCCUCCCGCCCAGCCCGCAGCCCGGCACGGAGCGGCACGGAGCGGCACGGAGCGGCACGGAGCGGCACGGGGCGCCGCGCACAGCCGGCGAUUCCUGCCCUCCUCCCCUCGCCUCCCCGCCCCCAGCUGUCCCUCCCCAAGUUUAACCAGAUUUCUGGUACUUUGCGGAAUAUCGAACAGCUGGGAUCCGUUGCAAUUCAGUGGCUGUGAUUAAAACCUCCAAACCUACGUAACUGCCGUGUCUGUGCUUCGGCUGCUGUUACGUGCUUUUCCCUUAAGUCAUAUUAAUGGCCAUUCUCGAAGAACGGCACAAAAGCUCACGCUUGCACAGUAAAAGUGAAAUGCGUGCCGGCGGCACACCCUGCAAUCCCGGUUACAAUUCGCCCGUCGCUCGGCAGCUCCGAGCCGGCGGCUGAAGGCGGUAAAAGCAGGCGGGUGAGAACCGGGCCGGCUUCCCUUCGCAGGGCAGCGCAGCCGCUUCCCUGCCCGCUGCCUCAGCUGAGUUCGGUGAGGCGUGCGACACAACAACGGCUGGAACGGAGAGAGAGUAGGGGUACAACGCAACUGAGCAGAGGAAACACAUUGAAUCAGAUGUAGUGCAGAAACAACAAGAAUCUUGAGCCGUGUGUUGAUCGACAGCCUGCUGAAGGCAAGCUGUGGUGAGAACAAGUCACUGGAUCUAUGAAUGCCUGACUGUUCUCAGAAGCAGAGGAAGCUGCAGGGGCUGCAGGCAGCUGCUUGCACAGUUGGAAACUGAUCAGGACUCACACGUAGUGAAGCUAAAGACAUGUCCUCCAGAAGGAAAGACAGAUGCCUACUUUGAUUAGAUGGAGUGACUUUCUGUGGCAGCCAGCCCACUGUUUCUGGGGCAAAAUGUAGCAGUGCAGGGUAAGACUUCAAGGCAUCUCACUAUUUUCUAGAAUUAUAUGAAGAUAAAUAUUAUUAAUGAGCUUAUUCUCUUUCACAGUGUAGAGAUGACUAUACAAAGCAAAAAGUAAUGUUGGCCAUGGGAAUCAGCUACUGAACAAGAACAAAACCAAAAGUUAAUCAAAGCCUGUAUUGCAGUUAGUAUGAGUCCAGUGUAAGAUUGAAACAGAAUGAGACAGACUGAUCAGAACUGCAGUAACAAGGAGAAAACAGAUGCUUGUAACAGUGAGAACACAGAACUCUGCACUGUAACUUAACGCUGCAGGCAGCCCUAACUGGAGAAUUAUUUUUAAUAAGAUAUUGUAAAAGUGCCUGAAAAUAUUUCUAGAGGGAAUAUGCACACAGCACACAGCAAUCCCUUCUAUCUUCCUGCUCAGUAGUAUUUUUACAGUCUCGAAUUCACUGGCAACUCCUAGAGCAGUCUCUGCUGCUUUGGCACUUACACUGACCUUAUUCUAGACUAACACAAAUGCCUUAUCUGCCACC